UACGUAGGGACCAAGCGUUGUUCGGAUUUACUGGGCGUAAAGGGCGCGUAGGCGGCGCGGUAAGUCACUUGUGAAAUCUCUGAGCUUAACUCAGAACGGCCAAGUGAUACUGCAGUGCUAGAGUGUGGAAGGGGCAAUCGGAAUUCCUGGUGUAGCGGUGGAAUGCGCAGAUAUCAGGAGGAACACCGGUGGCGAAGGCGACUACCUGGCCUGAUUCUUGACGUGAGGCGCGAAAGCUAGGGUAGCAAACGGG
rnacentral:rRNA from 1 species